rnacentral:rRNA from 1 species
UAAUCACUUGUCUUUUAAAUGAAGACCCGUAUGAACGGCAUCACGAGGGCUCAACUGUCUCCUCUCCCCAGUCAAUGAAAUUGAUCUGCCCGUGCAGAAGCGGACAUAAAAACAUAAGACGAGAAGACCCUAUGGAGCUUAAGACAAAAAGCCAAACAUGUUAAACGACCUAUAAACCAAUUUGGGAUAAAAAGUACCUAAACCAUAUGCCAUCUGGCUAAAAUGUCUUCGGUUGGGGCGACCUCGGAGGAAAAACAAGCCUCCGCAUGGACUGGGGGCACACCCCUAAAACUGAGAUACACAAAUCUAAGUAACAAAAAUUUUGACCAAUAAUGACCCGGACCAAAUCCGAUCAACGAACCAAGUUACCCUAGGGAUAACAGCGCAAUCCCUUCCCAGAGUCCA